GGAGUUGUGGCUCAGUGGUAUAGCGCUUCCCCAGCAUGUAUGAAGCACUGGGUUUGAUUCUCAGCACCA
rnacentral:tRNA from 1 species